UACAGAGGGUGCAAGCGUUGUUCGGAAUUAUUGGGCGUAAAGCGCGUGUAGGCGGUCCGGUAAGUCCGCUGUGAAAGUCGAGGGCUCAACCCUCGAAUGCCGGUGGAUACUGUCGGGCUAGAGUACGGAAGAGGCGAGUGGAAUUCCUGGUGUAGCGGUGAAAUGCGCAGAUAUCAGGAGGAACACCAAUUGCGAAGGCAGCUCGCUGGGACGUUACUGACGCUGAGACGCGAAAGCGUGGGGAGCAAACAGG
rnacentral:rRNA from 1 species